rfam:Schistosoma haematobium scaffold84_14, whole genome shotgun sequence.
AACUUUUCGAAUCCGUGGUGAGAUUUCGUCAGACACCAACCCAUCAGGAUUAAUCAGACUUCCAAGAUAGGUGAAGUU